rnacentral:rRNA from 1 species
GACGAACGCUGGCGGCGUGCCUAAUACAUGCAAGUAGAACGCUGAAGAGAGGAGCUUGCUCUUCUUGGCUGAGUUGCGAACGGGUGAGUAACGCGUAGGUAACCUGCCUUGUAGCGGGGGAUAACUAUUGGAAACGAUAGCUAAUACCGCAUAACAAUGGAUGACACAUGUCAUUUAUUUGAAAGGGGCAAUUGCUCCACUACAAGAUGGACCUGCGUUGUAUUAGCUAGUAGGUGAGGUAAUGGCUCACCUAGGCGACGAUACAUAGCCGACCUGAGAGGGUGAUCGGCCACACUGGGACUGAGACACGGCCCAGACUCCUACGGGAGGCAGCAGUAGGGAAUCUUCGGCAAUGGGGGCAACCCUGACCGAGCAACGCCGCGUGAGUGAAGAAGGUUUUCGGAUCGUAAAGCUCUGUUGUAAGUCAAGAACGGGUGUGAGAGUGGAAAGUUCACACUGUGACGGUAGCUUACCAGAAAGGGACGGCUAACUACGUG